rnacentral:tRNA from 1 species
GCUGAUAAGCGUGAGUCGCCAGUCUACUCUGGUCGCCCACAGAUCGCAGUGCGCAGGAUUGCGAGAGUGAUUCCGCGACUGACGCGUAGCAGGCGCGACGCCGGUUGUCGGCGUGCGAGGCGCUGCGCUUUAGAUCGAGUUCCCUGAUACGGGCCUUAGCUCAGCUGGGAGAGCACCUGCUUUGCAAGCAGGGGGUCAUCGGUUCGAUCCCGAUAGGCUCCACCAUUCUCGCCGGUUGGCGGCAUCAGAUGGUGGAAUCAGGUUCGGUGGGAAUGGCGAUCGGCGCAAUCAAGAAUACUCCAGGGAUGAAGACAUGAUAUCCGGCCGCAAGGCUGGUGAUGCGGAAGGGUUGCUUCUGCUGCUUCUUUGACAUUGUGAAUGGGUUUUUAAUCGAUGCCGUGGUGCAUUGGUUUGCAUGGCUCGGGGCUGCGAGGUUCCGGGUGUCGUGUGGAUCGAUGUGUCACUUACAGAUGUAUAUCUGGCUGAGAUUAUCGUCCGCAUCUAGAACAGCGCAGAUUUAUGCAGGUCUGUCGUGAUGGUUGAUUUCCAAUCGAC